rnacentral:lncRNA from 1 species
AGUUCUUCCAAGUUUGCAGCAUGAUCCCAUUGCUUCUGUCCCUGCUGGCAGCUCUGGUCCUGACCCAAGCCCCUGCAGCCCUCGCUGAUGACCUGAAAGAAGACAGCUCAGAGGAUCGAGCCUUUCGGGUGCGCAUCGGUGCCGCGCAGCUGCGGGGUGUGCUGGGCGGUGCCCUGGCCAUCCCAUGCCACGUCCACCACCUGAGGCCGCCGCCCAGCCGCCGGGCCGCGCCGGGCUUUCCCCGAGUCAAAUGGACCUUCCUGUCCGGGGACCGGGAGGUGGAGGUGCUGGU